rnacentral:rRNA from 1 species
GACGAACGCUGGCGGCGUGCUUAACACAUGCAAGUCGAACGGAAAGGCCCUGCUUUUGUGGGGUGCUCGAGUGGCGAACGGGUGAGUAACACGUGAGUAACCUGCCCUUGACUUUGGGAUAACUUCAGGAAACUGGGGCUAAUACCGGAUAGGAGCUCCUGCUGCAUGUUGGGGGUUGGAAAGUUUCGGCGGUUGGGGAUGGACUCGCGGCUUAUCAGCUUUUUGGUGGGGUAUGUGCUUACAAAGGCUUUGACGGCUAGCCGGCCUAGGAGGGGUACCGGCCACAUGGGGACUGAGAGACGGCCCAGACGCGUACGGGAGGCAGCAGGGGGAAAUAUGGCACAAUGGGCGGAAGCCUGAUGCAGCAACGCCGCGUGCGGGAUGACGGCCUACGGGUUGUAAACCGAUUUCGACUGAGACGAAGCGUGAGUGACGGUAAUGGGUAAAGAAGCACCGGCUAACUACGUG